GAUCAACCUUUUUCUGGCCAAUGGGACAAACUAAGUUAUUAGUGAAGCCCUCACAGAGCCCUGUAAAAGCCUUUACUCUUGUAUAAGCCAACUCAUCCUGACAUCUUCAACCAGGGUACUUCAAGAAAAAGACAAGUUCAAAAAUUAGGAAGAUGAAGAACAACUUAAAAAUUCAAUGCAUUUCAGUGUUGAAAGUCACCUCCAUCCUUUUCAGUUUCAAAGACUGGGGUCAAAAAUCCAAUCACAGGUAAGCUGCCAGCCUUUCCUUAAGAAUUCAAACUAGGCUACCUGGAUCCUUCAAAUGGACAAAUGGUUCUAGGAAAAAGAGACCCAGCAGUGGUUUCUCAGGAAAACCUACAAAGUGCCUGUAAUUAUAAAAAGAUAAGCAUGUCUGGGAAAGUCUUUUGAGUAAGACUACUGCACAUGAAGCUGACUAGAAUGAAACACACACACACACAAUGACAAUAGUCUACAUUAAAAGGUAAUGGACAUCUAAAAAGCAACCUAUGGCCCCCAAAUCUUUAGUCUGAAAGCAAACUGAGAGCUGCUCAGCUGAUGAGGGUAAUAUUCUCCAAUGACCUUUUUAGAUGCAACUAAGGAUAAUGAAAAAGUGAAUAGUGAACUCUCAGAAGAAUUAGCCAAAAGCCAUGGAGAGAAAUGGCCUAGGAAGAUACUGUCAAGAAAAACAGGCCUAAUCAAAGAACAUUCCUUAUAUCUAAAAUAAGGGGAUCUCACAGUAUGUUCCCAGCAUAAUUUCAGAUUGCUACGGAACAAUGUUGUGUGCUUCUUAAACCUCUCCAUUCCAAAUGGGGGUAUUUAUUAUGUGAUAUAUCACAGAUCUACAUGUGUGUAUAAAGGGGAGAGAGGAGCAUAUAACUUGUGUUUUCAGUUCCUUCAUCUCCAGAUUAAUGUUGAUCAUGAAUUCCUAGACUUUGUGCCUGGUGCCAUAAUUAGAUAAGACAUUUAAGGGAUGAGAUGAGUGAGAUUUAUCUGGUAUGUUUUAAAACAAAAACAAAACUCAUCUGCAUGUGUACCUCACCUUCUUAAUUUCACUACAGUAGUUAAAACUAUGUUGUAAUUCUAUGCCACUAUUUUUAAGAAAACCUUAACAGCGUGGCAGUAAAAUAAAACUCUUUUAAGUAUA